UGUUUAAAUGGUUAGAGCGUCCGCCUCGGAAGCGGGAGGUCGUGGGUUCGAUCCCCGGUCGAGUCAU